CCCAAUAGGAUCCAACACACUCUGUAGUAAAAGGAAAGGUCCCUUCCCUGAGAAGAUUGCAAUCUAAUUUUAGACACGAUAUGGUGGUAAGAAGAGGGGAUGGAGUUGUAAAGGCCAAGAAUUACAGCAAUCAGUGGUAAAAUAUGAAGACAGAAAUGUAUCAAUCUUUGACAAAAGCAUUGUAAGAGAACAGAGGCCAGCCCCGUGAAAUGAGAAAAUGCAGAGGAGUGUACAAAGAUGAGUUCAGAAGGAUUCCUUGGUAUUUUCUACCAUCAAAGAUUCAGAAAUUUACAAUUUACACGGUUCUAUCUUGGCGUGAACAGCUGAGCCCAGUGGAGGAUUUAGCCCCAUAGGAGGACAGACAGGAAAUCUGUAUCCUGUAUCCAAAUCUGUAUCCUGUAUCGGGACUGAGCCUUCACAGCAGACACAUCUCUUGAUCUUGCAUCAAUCAACUUCUGAGUCCAAAGAGCUGUCUUUCAUUCCUGUAAAUUGCAGCCUUUCCCUGAGAGCUCUGAUUGGCCACUCU